rnacentral:rRNA from 1 species
AUUGAACGCUGGCGGCAUGCUUUACACAUGCAAGUCGAACGGUAACAGGCCGCAAGGUGCUGACGAGUGGCGAACGGGUGAGUAAUGCAUCGGAACGUGCCCAGUCGUGGGGGAUAACGCAGCGAAAGCUGCGCUAAUACCGCAUACGAUCUAUGGAUGAAAGCGGGGGACCUGUAAGGGCCUCGCGCGAUUGGAGCGGCCGAUGUCAGAUUAGGUAGUUGGUGGGGUAAAGGCUCACCAAGCCGACGAUCUGUAGCUGGUCUGAGAGGACGACCAGCCACACUGGGACUGAGACACGGCCCAGACUCCUACGGGAGGCAGCAGUGGGGAAUUUUGGACAAUGGGCGCAAGCCUGAUCCAGCAAUGCCGCGUGCAGGAAGAAGGCCUUCGGGUUGUAAACUUAGCUUUUGUUACGGAACGAAACGGGACUCUGGUUAAUACCUAGGGUCUAAUGACGGUACCGUAAGAAUAAGA